GCUCAGACCUGCAGGAGCUGGUGUCUUCCUGUCUCUCUGGUCCCUUUUAUGUGCAGGCUUCAAACCUUCCCAGGGCAAAGAUGAAACACCGUUUCAUUUCCUCCUGCGUGUGAAGAAGAACAAAAGACAGAUCUUCUUGGCUCACUCGUAUCAUAGACCCACUGAAACCCUGCAGGAGAACAGAGCAUGGAUUAUAGAUAAAGCUUAAAUCCACUUUCGCAGGAAUUAGGCGGCUUACAAAUGAAGCGGUGUUUGCUGGAGGUGACAUGACCUGUGACGUCACAACAGGUUGACGGCAGAAGCAGAAAUACUGGAUUUCUGAAUCCAGGAUUUACUGCAAGUGUUCUCAGAGCCUUCAAUAUGAACAUUAAAG